rnacentral:lncRNA from 1 species
CACCACAACACCUUCCACACCCGCAACAGCAAACACUUUCAACGAUAACAUCAUCGCUUUCGGCCUCCAAAUCUUUCCAUCUAAACCAACAUAUUUCACUGGAAAUGUCACGAACACUGGCGAUCUGCAUCUACGACGUUGCGGAGAAAGACCGUGGUGAAGUUCCCCGCCGUUUUCCAGCGAGAUUGAACCACCAACAUUGACAUCACGUUAGAAAUUUGACAACAGGGACUAUUUACGCUAACGGAGGAAAAAUGUAAGGAUUUUAAAAACAUUUAUUGAAAUGUAGGGACUAUUCUCAAAAUCGCGUAAAAUGUAGGGACCAAAAACAUAUUUAACCCUU